UACGUAGGGGGCAAGCGUUGUUCGGAAUUACUGGGCGUAAAGGGCGCGUAGGCGGCACGGUAAGUCGGGAGUGAAAGCCCGGGGCUCAACCCCGGAACGUCUUUCGAAACUGCCGAGCUAGAGUGCGGAAGAGGCAACUGGAAUUCCCAGUGUAGCGGUGAAAUGCGUAGAUAUUGGGAAGAACACCUGAGGCGAAGGCGGGUUGCUGGGCCGACACUGACGCUGAGGCGCGAAAGCCAGGGGAGCGAACGGG
rnacentral:rRNA from 1 species